GGAGCGGAGCUCGCCAAGGCCAUCGACGGCUGCCUGGACCGCUACUCGCAGUUCUACGGCAGCGAUCAGCGCGUGCAGGCCUGCCUCAGCGAGCUCGGCGUCCCGCUCACCCGCGAGCCCGGGUUCCACCAGGUGGACAUCCGGGGCGACGCGUACGGGAUGCUGGCGGCCCACCCGGUGGGGCCGGUGGUCUCGCUCCACCACCUGGACCACAUCGAGCCCAUCAGCCCCGUCGGCCACACCCCGCUGGCCGCGGUCCGGCCGCUGGUGAGGGCGGCCCGGUUCGACUCGGCCCGCCUGCUGCAGCAGGCCUUCGGCUACCAGCACGGCCCGGGCUACACCUGGUCCGUCUCCAUCGCGUGGGGCUACACGGUGCAGCUCUACCCGUGGGCCGUGGCGCCGCACGAGCUGGAGGUGCCGCUGCAGACGUUCAAGACCUGGCGGAGCUGGGCCAACGGGCCAUUCGUGUUCAACACCCGGCCCCUGAUGAGCACUGACACCCCGUGCUACCGGCCGGCCAUGUUCUUCCUCAGCCGUGUCCGGAAUGAGACCAGCCGGGGCACCGUGAGCGAGUACUCGAGGCACGCCACCAAGUCGGAGAAGGAGUGCGACCAGGCCAGCUUCCGCGCCGCCUCCACGGUUCACACCGUCAAGGUGUUCGCUCCCAAGAUGAACCAGAACGAGUGGAAACGGGCGCCACGGCGGCAUUGCUGUAAAACAACGAGGACGAGGUGGGGCACGGUGCUGGAGGUGCGGAUACGGUAUUGCAGCCGAGGAGAGCUCACCACGCCGUAG
rnacentral:rRNA from 1 species